rnacentral:rRNA from 1 species
AGCUCCAAUAGCGUAUAUUAAAGUUGUUGCAGUUAAAAAGCUCGUAGUUGGAUUUCUGGCCUGAGCGUCCUGUCCGGCGCUGUGCGUUGUGUACUUGGUGCGACUCGGGCCAUCCUUGCAGGGAAUGUGUCUGGCCUUAGUUGGUCGGGUUCGGGAACUGCAUCGUUUACUGUGAAAAAAUUAGAGUGUUUAAAGCAGGCAUUUGCUGUGAAUACAUUAGCAUGGAAUAAUAAGAUAGGACUUUGGUUCUAUUUUGUUGGUUGGAGGCCAAGGUAAUGAUUAAUAGGGAUAGUUGGGGGUAUUCAUAUUUAAUUGUCAGAGGUGAAAUUCUUGGAUUUAUGAAAGAUGAACUUAUGCGAAAGCAUUUACCAAGGAUGUUUUCA